rnacentral:rRNA from 1 species
AAGUUUGAUCCUGGCGUCAGGAUGAACGCUAGCUACAGGCUUAACACAUGCAAGUCGAGGGGCAGCAUGAAGUUUGCUUGCAAACUUGAUGGCGACCGGCGCACGGGUGAGUAACGCGUAUCCAACCUUCCCCUUAGUAGGGCAUAACCCGGCGAAAGUCGGAUUAAUACCCUAUGUUCUUCGUAGAUGACAUCUGAAAUGAAGCAAAGGUUUACCGCUAAGGGAUGGGGAUGCGUCUGAUUAGGCAGUCGGCGGGGUAACGGCCCACCGAGCCGACGAUCAGUAGGGGUUCUGAGAGGAAGGUCCCCCCACAUUGGAACUGAGACACGGUCCAAACUCCUACGGGAGGCAGCAGCGAGGAAUAUUGGUCAAUGGGCGCGAGCCUGAACCAGCCAAGUAGCCGUGCAGGAAGACGGCCCUAUGGGUUGUAAACUGCUUUUAUGCGGGGAUAAAGUCGCCCACGUGUGGGUGUUUGUAGGUACCGCAUGAAUAAGGACCGGCUAAUUCCGUGCCAGCCGCCGC